ACGUGGGGCGGGGCGAAGCGAACGCGCCGGACGCUCCGCCCCCCUGGUUCUGAGGAAGGGGCGGGGCCUGGGAAGGCUGUCGUGGAGCGUCCCCGCCUGCAGCCCUGCGCUGCGCAUGCGCAGAGACUGGGCUCGCGCCCGGCUGCGUGGCGUUCGGAGGAGCUGCUGACGCGGGGUUUCUUCCGCGUGAGCCCCGCCCUGGCUGCUGUCGCCCCCGCGUCUGUGCCUGUCCCAGCUUGGCCGGCCUCGCAAAGGGAGCCGUUAAUGGGUUUACUGAACAGCUCCUUCUCCACUCGUUCCGCUUUGCUUCAAAAUCCUGCUCAACGCACGAUUUCCUUCAGCAGCCCGCGCCGGACGCCUGGCCGUCGAUAACGGACGUCUCGAGGGGCGCGGGUUGCUCCGAGGAGACCGUUCGACGCCCCUCAGCGGCCCCGGUCCCGCCGAGCCGUGCCCGGGUCCCCGCCGUGCGGCCGUCACGCCGGGGCCCACACGCCUGAGACGGAAGCCGCGUCCGGCCGCCCCGCCGCCCGCGGGGGCGCAGCUCUCCCUGGGGACCCAUCCGGGGCUGUGUGUGGAGCCCAGUUCUGCCGAUGACGGAGGGGCUCGGGUUCCCGGGUCCGGACGCCACAUGCCGCCUCCACUGCCGCCGGCGUCUCCGCGAGGCCCGGCCCUCGGAGAGGGAAAUGCCAUUCGGAGUCGCCGUCGGGCUCUAGGACGCUCACUGCUCGCGAGGCAGCCCCUCUGCCUAGGCUUUUUCGUGGAAAGACUGUUUUUUAAGGCAAAUGUAAGUUUCCAUUGAUACUGUCCAUUUAGAUCCAUGAUUCCUGGUGUGGGUCGCACAAAUGGGCCUGAAACAUCUUGUCAAAGGAGAAACAAGGAGAGUGUCAAAAACUGCUGGGAUUACGUCAGAAGGGCUCAGGAGCCAACUGGAAGGAGCCUCCCCGUGUCAGCGAGGGCACAGAGACAAUCACUGAAAGACACUGAAACAAAUCAAAUGUGUUUGAAUCUAAGUAUUCAUAAUGGCGACAAUUAAAAAGAACUCAGUUGUCCCCUUGGAGGAUGCUAAUGAGCCGACUCUAUUUUGAAAACCGAUAAAGAAAGGGGAAGCACUGGGCUUUCACCUCCAUCCCCUGCGCCGCUGUAUGUCAGGUGAUGAACAAGUUGAUGACAGGAGGUUGGCCUCUGUGGAAGUACAGCUAGCAAAUGAAGAAGGAAUGGUAAAAUUGUAAUGUGACCACUUUACACCUCCUGAUGAUUUCGUAAUGGAUGAAAACAAUGAUCCUCAGUGGCUGUUAUCAUGAAAAUAACGUCAGAACUUUUUUGCCUCUUGAUGAAGUAUUAAUGCAAAAAAAAAAAAUCUAAUCUGAUUCUAAUCAAGCAUUCAGGUCUAAUUGUCCAUUUGCAGUUAAUGCAGAGGAAAGAGGAAGAUGUAAAAUUACCACAAAUGAAAUCAGCCAAAUCCAAACUGUGGAAAACUCUACAUCAUAAGUGACUUGAGGGGGCCGCCCCAUGGCACAGCGGUUAAGUGCGCACGUUCUGCUUCGGUGGCCCCGGGGUUUGUAGGUUCGGAUCCUGGGUGCGGACGUGGCACAGUUUGGCACACCAUGCUAUGAUUUGAACUGGAACCUUGGCUUUUGGGUCUCAAGCCUACUGGCUUUCAGACUGGAACUUAGACCAUCAGCUCUCCUGGUCCUCAAGCCUUUGGACUUGGAAUGGAACUACAUUCUCAGCUCUCGUGGGUCUCCAGCUUGCUGACUGCAGAUCUUGAGACUUCUCAGCCUCCAUAAUCACGCGAAACUUGGUUGAGGAGGUAGACCUGUUGGCCCUUAAAUGUGAAGAGAAUUAAUACAACAGAACCACAGGAUAACUAAGGUCCAAGAUCACAAUUUCCCCUGUGGAUGGUUCUUAAGAAAUAAAACUCGAAGUGAUUGUUAGAACUCCUGAAAUAACAGAACAAUGGACUAACUUUCCUCCUUCUGAUGGAUUCUAGCAAUCUAUGGAAUGACCUCCAGAGAAGUGGAUGAUGUAGAGCAUGGGAUGUGGAAAAUCUGCUCUCCAAAGUCCAAGCGUAGAUCUUUGCAGGAAACGUAAUCUCAGGACUUUACAACUUGUUGUUGGGAGAUUAUAAAGAAUCUUCAUACCAAGUGAGACUCUUAAUAAAGUAGAGAAAUUCAAUAGCAUUUUCCAUUUUAAAAAAUACUCUGAUGUACUUUGACUACAACACCAAGCAAAGCAGCAACACGAACUGUCAAAUCAGAAGAGCCCUCUGUGCAAGGCUAAAGAAAAUUGUGACUAGCACGGUCAGACUCUUUCCUUCUUUAUUGGCGCUUCUCGAUUAAUAAAUCCUUGGAACAACCCUUUUAGGGAUCAUUCCUUAAAAUAUUAGCAUGUUACCUAACUGGCUCCUUAAGUUUCUAGAAAACUAAGUAACUGCAAAGAAAAACUAAUUUUUAAACAAUUAAAAUAUGGUACAAAUCAUUUGAAUCAUUUGGGCUCUGAAUUGUAAUAAAAAUUUUACCCUCUCAUCUCAUGCCGUUUUCACAGCUGGGAAAUGCUCAUUUUGCUUGUACUUUAAUAUAGAAUUAUCUGGAUUUUUAAAAUAGGACUCAACAGGCAAUCAAGAAUCAGUAAUAGUAAUGAGAAAUGUUUAUGUAACACCGAGCCUAUAGAGGUUUUGUUUCUAUCACAUUGUAUGGUUAGACUGCCUAGUCCCGCUGGCUAUACCAUUCUCCGUAGUUCAAGACUAGCUCCAGGGUAAGAAUGGCCUGGCUGUGCUCUCUAGAAGGCCAACUUCAGAAUCGUGUGAGAAAUAUUUGUUCAAACUUCAUCCUCUUCAGUUCUGUGGAUCCAGCCCUAUCUGCCAAGGCUUUAGAAUUAUUUUUCUUUGUGGCCAUACUUCUAGCUGUCAAGUAGAUUAUUAUUGUUUUUCCAUUUUUCUUAAGAUUAUGCAAGGACAGAGGAAUGGAAAGCUAUUUUUCUAUGAAGUAAGGCAUAUAAAAGGGUGAGUAUUAAUUCAGAUUUACUGCCUUAGAACUGGAAGGUGCUGGUCUUCUGUUGAGCGGUGUGCGGAGCUCAUACACACUGCGCAUUCCUGGCACAUUUUUGUUCUCAUUCUCAGUCUUCUGAAACAAUUAGUCCAUUGCCUCUCCAACCCGUUCAGAUUCAUUCUGUAGCAACCAUGGUUGUCAUCUGUAAUAUUUACUUAAAGCCAAGAAUUCAUUAUUCUUCUGACCUAAUACAUCUGUAAACAGUAGAUCAUAUAAUCCAUCUGGUAGUCUAUAAAUAAUGCCGUUGGACAACAACUUCCUUUUUUAAAUAUUUGACAGUUGAACUCAUAAAAACAUAGCUUGAAAUGAUAGCCCUUUCCCCUACUAAUCCAUGAGGUUUUCCCUGCUUCAUCGAGUUGUAGGUUUUGACACAUAAUUAUACAUAUGCUUCCCACACACCAAAUGUAAAAGAAAAAGAAAUCACUUCCCAGGUGAAAUGCAAAACAUGUUGAAUUACAUAGUUAUAAAAACAUCUUAUAGGGUACACGCUCUGUGGGAUUAUUGAACUUUAGUCGCAGCCCAGGCUUUGCAGAUGUGGGCAGUACCCCAGGCAUUCUUUGGAACGUUAAAGAUUUCACAGCUUGGUAUUUUUUGGUUACUCUCUCCUAAGAAACAUAUAGGAAAAAGUAUUUUUCAAGCUUAAGAGAAGGGCCCAUUGAAUGAGUUAUUUAAACUCCCCUCCUAUUUCUUAAGCUGAGGGGUGGGAGAGAGCAGCUUGCAAGAAGAGACUCUGUUAGGGUGGGAUGUUGAGUGAAUGAUUCACCUUUCCACAGGGACGCUCUCUGCUCACUGGCUCUGCCUUCCUGGAUGUUUGCACAUGUGCUUGUGGCAUUUGAGGUUUGGGGGAGAGCCAAUCAACGUGAAAUAUUUUCCUGCACAAUUGCAUACCUUUCUCACAACCUUGAUAAAGCACUACCACCAGCACUGAUAACCUACAAAACGUGUUAUGAAACGUGACCCUGUUUCUCUGGCAUUGCACCCAAGGUCAUGCUCCAAUCCCUGCUCACCUUAAAGAACCACUGCUGAGAAGCGCUGUCGUCCAGGUCAGCAGCUGGGGCACACCCUGAUCGAUCUGCCCACUGCAGGCCACUGACAAACACACUCUAUCCUUAGGAUAAAAUCUCAAAUGCUCUAUGUGGCCUCCAAAGCCCUGAAUGGUAUAACCCGUGCCUACCUCCUGCUUCAACCCAUACCCAUCUCCACCUCAGGCACCACAUGACAACCAUGCUGGCUUCCUUUCAUUCCCCAAAAGGCCAAGCUUCUCCCUCAAGACCUUGGAUGUUCCUUCAUCCCAGCAUGAUUCCCAUCUCCUCAGCACUCAUCUCCCACCCCUCACACACACAGGCACAUGUAUACACACACACACGCGCACGCACACCCAUACAUACCCUCUCUCUUUGCUAACUCCAACUCCAGCCUUCAACUCUCAGUCUAAUGUCAUUAACUCAAAAUAUGGCCUUCCCCAAACCCCCAAAUCUAAAUUAGGCUCUCCUUUAACAAUGCAAAGUAUCCUACACUUCUCUUUUAUAAUACAUAUCACUAUUUGAAAAUGUAUAUUUAUUUUUGUGACUUGGUUUUAAAGAUUUUUUUCCCUCACUAGGCUAAUAGCAAACUCCAAAGGAGUUUGGCUCUCUUACUUACCACUGUGGUCCUGGCAACUAGCAUGCAGCAAACACUCCAUAAGUAAAUACUAGUGGAAAGAGUGAACUUCACUUCCACGUUGCAUGCCAGGAGGACAGGUCUCAGAAGACUGGCCAACCAUUUUCCAGAUUCAAGGUCCCUUGCGCUAUGAUGAAGUUUUUGAAAAGGACCAGAAGCUGGAUUUUAAUUGUCAUAGAGCCAGCUCAUGCCCAGAGAUUGCUAUCUAGCCCUGGCACUGAACCAUCCUUCAGAAGAACAACAGCUCAUUCUCUGCCUGGUUCUAGCAGGAGAGGGCUAGGUGCAAGUUCCCACAAAGUCCCCGUGCAUGACAGUGAGAAGCUAUUUGUACGCUUCCCUCUGUUCUCCACAGAUUGUAUACUUUCUCCACUUUCCUCUGGACAUCUUCCUCCACUUGCACAGUUAGAGGGCAUUAAAACACUCCCAAUAACUGGUUUUUCUGUCUUCAAAUGUUGUUAGGUGGAGUUAAGGAAUGUUAUCUUUUGCAACUCCUCAAAUCAAAUUAUCGCAUGUUGUUAAGCCUGAACAGGAAGACCACAUCAUACAAACGCCAAGUCCAAUCCUUUAUCUACGGGGUUCUCUAACUGGGAGAGCUUAAUGCACAUGCCGCUACCUUGAGGCAGGAUAGCUGUUGCCUCGCUACCUCCUCAUGCAGCUGUGGGACAAGCCAUGGCUGAAGCAUGUUCAAACCAGCAGUGUCACUGGCCUGAUAGUGAACACAUGCAGCCCUAUCUCACACUUUUCUGAAAUUUCUAUCCAUAUCAUGACGUGAAGAGAAUGCUGCUCGGUCAUAAAGGACACAGUCUCCUGAGAGGAGCUCGGUGGCCCUCUGUGGGCAGUCAUGUGUGGAGACGAGCGUAGUCCUGCAGCCACUCCUAAUAACCCCUAGUUCUAGGCAGGCCUGGGUCACGUGUGACCUCUCCACAGCUAGCGUCUGACCCAGGGCUGUAGCCACAGCGGAGACACCCCUUAGCAUCCCCCAAGGCCGUGAGCAUGACUAGUAGCAGUUACAAAUAAAUCAUUGUUAGAAAUUCUUGCUCUAGGCCAGCUGACUUUACAGUUCUUGGUCCAUUUGUUUUAAAUGUAGUUUCCUUGCAGUUCCUAAUAGGUCUUGGCCAUACAUAAUUUAUAGCUUCUAUUUUAAAGUGCUAUCAGAAAUCGAUAAGAAUAUAAACACGCGCACUGUUAUAAAUGUCCUCACGGCCGCCGUCAGCCGCCUCGUGCGUUCUCUUCACAGUAAUCGCUAGAACGAUUGAAGGGCUUUUCAUGUCAGUUGUUUCGCUCCAGUUGAGCCAAGCUGAAUGAACUCUUAGUUAGAGCUGAGGAAGAACUCUACACUGGACUUUUAAUUAGGGAGCAAUCACUGAAAGCACAGUCAGAGCUCAGGCCUGCAGCGCAGCUGAGGUUUCCAGAUAAAGAAUAUAUACCGUACAGAUUAUGCUGGGAUGUUUUUCCAACCAGCAAAUCUAAUUAAAUUACUACCAUGUAAAAGUCCCUUUUUGGUAUUUAUUGAAGACUUUAACUAUGUUACCUGUAUUUGGUAGUUCAACAUUACAAUGUGACAAUUGCUUCAUUAACGUUUGACCAAUACCUUCAUUAAGUCAUUCAAUAAACAUGUUCAAGUCACCAUGCCAAGUAUUGGCGUUACCACAAUGCAUAAGUUGCCAUCCCUGCCUUCAAGGUAUCUUCAGUCUACUCAUUUCUGUGUUUUAAUUCUUCCCUAAACUCUGGAGGAUGGGCAAUACGUCUCAUUCAUCUCUAUGUUCUCAGUGUCCUACUGAGUGCCUGGCACAUGGUAGGUACAGAAUAAAUUCUUGUUGAAUAAAUUGGUAAAUGAAUAAACUAAUAAAUAAAUAAAGAAUGAAUUAAGAAACAGAAGCUACUGAACAAAAAUUUAAAUAUCUAGGCCUCCCAGAGACCAUCAGACCAAGAAGCAAUAGGCAUUUUUCUCUCUCUUCUUUGAGUUUAAAAAACAGAUGAGACAGACUCUGCCAUCACUCCCACCCAGCAGGCCUCCAGUAACUAUUUUCCCAUGCACACAUCCAUUUCCCUUGCUCUUUCAUUUAUUCUCUAUGAAAAAAAUGUCGAGAGCAGCAUGGAACCAGGGUGUUUGCUUUAAUAAGCAGCUAGUUAUCCAGGGCUUCCUCUCCUUCCAUCUCCCAAAGCAAGUCACAGGCCAGCUACCGUCAGAUUUUGACUGGAGGUUCUGCUAACACAGGCAUUUCCUUCUGCGGGUUUAUUAGACCAAGGCUGUGCUUCAGGGCUCCAGAAAUCAGGUGCUCCAUGGGAAGUGGAAUGUAACACACAGGGCAGUCAACUCCUCGUGUUCUAAAAUCCACUACGUAAAUGGAGUCGUGUUUGAACGGGGCGCCAGAUCAGUCUGUGGAUCUCGCUGACAACUUCUAGGAUCGCGUCUUCCCACGGAGUCCAGGAAGAGCCUAUGUGAGUGAGUCCUCAGCAGGCUCCCUGAAGAUGCUCGGGCAGCCGCCUGGAGCACCAUUGCCGGACACUUCCGUGAAGAGACCCAGGAAGAAAUCAGCCUUUCUCAACUUCAACCAUGGGGAACGUUCUAGGUGAUGGAAAACAAUGGUCAACACAGCGUCACUUCUCAGAAUACAGAUCAUUAGGCUGCACAUUUUUGGUUUUGGGUGUGAAACAAUCACAAUUCAUAAAUCAUGUUACUUUCAAGACUGUAAUAACUGUGGAUCAGAAAACUCUUCAAAGGGUUCUUUAUUAAAAAAAUUAUGCAUUCAUUUAACUAAAACCUUAUCUACAAGGUAACAGGCAGCAAAUUAGGUGAUAAAGGUGAGUGUGGACCCGCUCCUGUCCUGGAGGGGCUCACAAUCAGGAGAGGAGGAGCUGCAGACCCAGUAAGUGCCAUGGAGGAACUCACACAAACUGCCCUCAGCGCGGAGAGAGAAGCGCAGCCUCCUCUGUCUCACGCAAAGGCGGCCGGGUAGCUCAGUGCUGAGGCGCGCGAGCCCUGGAAACAGACCGCCCUGCCCACAGCCCCCUAUCGAGCCCCGCCUGGUGAGGACCCACUCGGCAAACACUUAACUCUUGUCAGCUCCGCUCCCCAAACCGAGAUGCCUGGCUUGUUCUAUCCACUGCAUCUGAAACACUGUCUUUGCCCCACAUGUAACUCCAUUUCUUCCCCUCAUUAUUGAAUAUUCAUUCCCCUCCUUAAAUCUUUAUUAAAAAUCUAAAUACAUAUUGUUGCUGUGCAUUAACUGCUAAAAGCUGUUUCCAAGACUAAUGAGGAUAUUGCCAAAAAAAUCAGGCUUGAAAGAACCUGGGUCCCAAGGGCAUAGCCAAUUGGAAGUGACUCCAAGAGCAACACCAAGGAUUAUUCAAGUCUCCCAGCAGCUGGUAACCAGUAUUUUCAGGACACACAGGUAUACGCUUGAGCCCCAGGAGAGAUGGGGACCCCAGCUGACAGAUUGUAGGGCAGGACUGCAAGCACUUCCGAAGCUCUCCUCAACCCCAGAGCCAUCCUUGCGCUACAUUUUGGAGAUGGGGGUGGAGACAUUUCCCUACAUCCUCAUUUUGCAAAGGGGUGGUGGAGGGGAGUGGGGGGAGGUGCAUUUCUAAACUCCAGCCCUAGGAGGAGAGAAGCAACUGGAGCACUUCCGGAUUCUCUUGACCCCACUCCUCUCUCCUCCCCAAGCAAGGAGGAAUGAUGGCUCUGACUCGUGAUCUGAGGAAGAAGGAUCAGAACUUAUCUUCAGUCCCUUUUCCUCUGGUCCAGAGGGCCUCAGCAUGGUAUGGACUGAUUGUGUCCCCCUAAAAAACUAUGUUGAAGUCCUAACCCCCAGUACCUCAGAAUGUGACCUUAUUUGGAAAUAGGGUCUUUACAGAAGUAAUCAAGUUAAAAUUAGGUCAUUAGUGUGGUCCCUGAUCCAAUGUGGCUGAUGUCUUUAUAUAAAGGGGAAAUACAGGCACAGAGACAGUCACGCACAGAGGGAAGGCCAUGUGAAGAGGCAGGGCGAAAGCCAUGUGACCGUGACGGCAGAGAUGGAAUUACGCUGCCACAAGCCAAGGAACAUCUGGGGCUGCCAGAACCUGGAAGAAGCAAGGAGAGAUCCCUCCUCUGCAGGUUCCGGAGGGAGCAUGCCCUCCCCACGCCUUGAUCUCAGACUCCUGGCUUCCAGAACUGCACAGCAGUACAUUUCUGUUGUUCUAAGCCGCCUAGAUUGUGGAGCUUUGUUAGGGCAGCCCUAGCAAACUAGUUCACAAGACAAACACUUUCUGUGUGCACCUCACUGUGAACAGCCUGCCACGCAAAGAAAGCCUGCAUGUCCACCUGGCCUGUCACUGAGAGGCUUGAAUCAGAUGGGGGUGCAGUGGGCUAGGCAGGGAGGGGGUGGCUCGUAUCACAAACCAUGAGCAAGCCUCCUCCUCUAAACAGCUGUUAUUGGUAGCAAAGCCAAUAUGUCGGUCAAUGUAUUAUUUCUUGAUUGUUUCUGAGUUUGAAGUAGGGAGAGAGAGCUGAUUUUCUGACCUAAACUCCAAAUCUAGGCUCAGGCACAUAGUCCACCUGUAUCAACACAUUCAACCCUCAUAAGAGCCCUGUAAGGGCAUAUCCUACUAGUAUGCCCAUUUUACAGAUGAGAAAGCUCAGGCAUGAAGAGGUCGAAUAACUUACCCAAGGACAAUGGAUGCUGAGGAUUGGGUUGUAGGCAGCCUGGGGCCAGAGUUUGUCCUUGCUUCCUCUGUAAAGGCUACAUUCCAAGGAACAAGCCAUUAAAUGGUCUUGUUAAAGGGAUCUCAUGGCCAAACAUAUGAAGAGAACCCUGGGUGAAAAAAAGGAAACUUUUCUUUAAUCUCUCCUGAUUGUCUCAGAACUUUGCAAUGCCACUGUGCCUUAUGACUAUCAGGAUAUGGCAUGCAGCAUUUGACCACAGAGCGCUUUCCAGGGAGCAGCUCUUGGGACUAAUGUUCUGAGGAACGCCAGUUUGGGAAACAUUGAGAGAAUACUUUGGGUGGGAGGUGCUCUUUUGUUUGGAUACAGUUCUAGGAUUUUUUAUGAUUUCUGUAUGCCACUGAAAAUGCUCAGAAAGUCCUUCAUUUAGAUUUUACAAAGAGUUAUAUAGAUUUGCAUAUCUAAGGCUGGGCCUCGCAAUCUAGGGGCUGAAGCUGACACAUCAAGCAUUGCAAUACAAGCCAGUGGGUUGCUGUGACAGUGGUACUAAGCAAGGUGAGCAGAAGACAAGGCUCAGUCUCAGAGGGAGGAAGGGAUGAUUUCAUGAAGGAGCUGGGGUUUGAGCAGGCCUUGAAGAUUAGAGGGGACUUCAGGCAAUCAUUUUGGAUUAACUACUUUAGGCCUAAAUUAGUUCUGCUCUAGGAUGGGGUCAGAAAUCCUAGAGACUAGAGGUCAGUUAUGGUCCUAGAGUCUGUAGAGGGGCAUUGUUCCUAAGCAGAGAUCACAAAUUGGUAGUCCCUAGGAAGGAUGUGACCAGCAGACUCUUGUUCGGCCGGCACAGUAUGGCCGGUGUAUGUGUAGGUGUACACACACGUGUAGGUUUAAUUCAAUCCAUGCACUCCUGGGUCUCAGCAUCACUCCUAUUUUACUUAUCUGUCCAGUCCUUGAAGGCAUCUGAGUUUCUCUCUUCUAGGCUGGUGUAGCCACAUGCCACGGCUAAAAGAUGUGGUGCCUUCACUCCCCUAUCAGCAUUUCACUGUGACAGUACCAUGGAAAACAUCAGGGAGUUAGGUCCCUGAUGGAGAACACUUAUGAAAUAUCCCUCUAGGAAUGGUUGGCUGAUCCUUCCCCAGCUAGUUACCAAAACCUCCCUCCAAAAUGAAUUUACUCCAGGGCAGUAGCAUAUAUCUGUGCACUAGCUGCUCCCCUAGCAUUCCAGUUCAGUAAUUUUUAUAAUAGAGGCUAUUGCAUUAAACUCAGCAGAUCUGUCAUUCUCUUAAAUAUGCUGGAAAAAGGAGAAGCAUAGAAUGCCAAAUAAUUUAAAAUAUAAUUUUUAAAUGUCAUUAGAUAAAGAUUUGCAGGCCAGCUAAGUCAUUUCCUUUAGGGGCGUUUUAUGUUCGUUUAGACAUUUCAUGGUUUUGGUUGUUCUUCUGUACAACUGUGGUUGUUUCAUUACUGUUCAGAAAGUCAACACUGUAUGUUUACACUAUAUUGUUGUGGUUAUAGAUACUUGAGUGCAACCAAAGUUAUCCCUACCUACAGUACUGCUAGUAGAGUGUGGCCACCAGAACUAGUCUGUGCCUCUUUCUAACUGCGGUCACACGGGGUCUGGACAAGAUGCCGACAAAACUUUGUGAGCCUCUUCUCAGCUUCUCUUCUCUAGGUGGGUGGAGACAGGAAAUCACUCUCUUCACUUCCCCAGUGGAAUUCAGGCCUCACGGCUUUACGCUAUGCUGCAAAGGGAGCCAGUUUUUUCUUUCCUCUUUGCACAGGCAUUUUCCUGGUGAGGACACUGUGAUUCUGAGUGAUCGUAGGAUUCUACAGAACAGGGCCACAGAAAUGCCCUAACUGUACACUUCCUAGCUUCCUCUCUGGGCAUGCCUCCCUUUGAAGGGGCAGCGUGGCGGUAAGAUCCGGGCAGAGCAGUGUGCCCGUGGCUCCCUGCCAGGACAGUGAGAUGUUUCUCUCCCC